AUGCAGUCAGUGCCAGGGCAAACCCCAGAGGUGCAGACACAGAUGAAGGGCAUGUCUGCCAGCAUGUCAUGUCAACUGGACUCCAAAACCACUGUGCACUGGUACAAGCAGCUUCCCGGGGAGCAGCCAAAGAGGAUACUGUACUACUCUGGAGGAACAUACGUUUUUGACAACAACAACGAUAAAACUAGAAUGCAAAUUUGGAAUGAUCCUACUCAGCCCAUAUAUCAUCUCAAAAUAAAUGCUUUAACUUCGAGGGAUUCUGGCAUUUAUUACUGUGCCUACUGGUAUUAUCAAAGUAGCACAGCAUUAACUGGGCGAAGAUAA